GGGUUGAUGUAGAGGCAGACGGAGCUCUGGUAGUAACGAAUCCUGAUCAAGCAGAGAUGUCGGACCAACCAAUUCAACCUAAAUUACAACAUAUUGCUGGUCCAUGAAGCUCAACUGGGAUGACGAUAUUUCAGUGAACGAUAGCAGAGAUGACGCAGAUGUGUCUUUAUAUUACGGAUUACAAAUGUGUCGAGGUUUGUGAUUGGAUAACAACACUGAGAUGUCAGUAUAUAUUCAGGAAACUGCCGGGGUAUAUACGACGUUUUUAUCCCCAAUUGGAACCUCAAAAACGUCAUCAUAACACCGGUUACUAUGUGACGUAGUCAAAAGCUAUCCGACUAUCAGAGGCUCACAGAGGGAAAAUAAUGACGUGCUUCAGUCAAUAAUACAUUUUUGAUACAAAAUCACGCAUUUUACACUUUUAAUACUUAAAUUUAAUGUUAAAAGUGUUAUUAAAUUAUUACAUACACGAUAAAAUUAUGUUCACAGCAAAUUAGAAAAUCCUUCACGUAUGCCGAAC
rnacentral:lncRNA from 1 species